GCCGAUUUGGCUCAGUGGUUAGAGCAUUAGCCUGCCAACUGAAAGAUCCCUGGUUAGACUCCAGUCAGGGGCA
rnacentral:tRNA from 1 species